GUGAGGAAUAUUGGUCAAUGGGCGCAAGCCUGAACCAGCCAUCCCGCGUGAAGGAAGAAGGCCCUACGGGUUGUAAACUUCUUUUCUGUUUGAAGAAUAAGCUUGUCGAGACAAGUGAUGCCGGUAGGACAGGAAUAAGCAUCGGCUAACUCCGUGCCAGCAGCCGCGGUAAUACGGAGGAUGCAAGCGUUAUCCGGAUUUAUUGGGUUUAAAGGGUGCGCAGGUGGUUGGAUAAGUCAGUGGUGAAAGUCUGGCGCUUAACGUUAGGAUUGCCAUUGGUACUGUUGGACUUGAAUAUGGAUGAGUUAGGCGGAAUGUGUAGUGUAGCGGUGAAAUGCUUAGAGAUUACACAGAACACCGAUUGCGAAGGCAGCUUACUAAUCCAUUAUUGACGCUGAGGCACGAAAGCGUGGGGAUCAAACGGGAUUAGAUACCCGUGUAGUCC
rnacentral:rRNA from 1 species